rnacentral:rRNA from 1 species
UACGGGGGGGGUAAGCGUUGUUCGGAAUUACUGGGCGUAAAGGGCUCGUAGGCGGCCAACUAAGUCGGACGUGAAAUCCCUCAGCUUAACUGGGGAACUGCGUCCGAUACUGGAUGGCUUGGAUUCGGAAGAGGGAUGCGGAAUUCCAGGUGUAGCGGUGAAAUGCGUAGAUAUCUGGAGGAACACCGGUGGCGAAGGCGGCAUCCUGGACCGAUAUUGACGCUGAGGAGCGAAAGCCAGGGGAGCAAACGGG